UGACCACUGCCUGCGACCUCCGAUGAGCAAAAUCCCAUGGUCCCUGAGGCUACUGAAAAGACCCUCCAUUGCUCUGUCCUUCCCAGCCUUUCAAGCUGAACAACUGCUCUGAACUGUGUGCCUGCAGAAUCCAGAAUGGCAGUGCAGAUGACUAAUUCUAAUCCAUAGGGCCCACAUACAGGGGGAACAUCCUAGGAUACAGCAGAGUCCUCAACACAGACACAGACCCACAGACUGAGCCCCUUCACAUGAUCAUAUGGGGGUGGAUUAGUUGGCGUGUUUACACAGUGCAAUAUACUCUGGAUCAUAUAUGCAUUAAAACUGCAGUAUGUGAAGUGACCCCCUAAAGAGACUGGCUGAUAUCGGCUUUCCUGACUCGUCACCUCCAGAUUCAGUUAUACCAAGGGCUCCAUGCAUCAUUAUCCCAUGACACUGAAGACUGAAAUGGUAUCGACAAACAUUAAUUGGAACCUUAAAAGUGGUUUGGGCAAUAUUCUUUCAAUAGAUUCUUUAAAAAAUAAAGGAUGAAGAAAUGAAAGGAUGGUCUUGAUGCUAAUAAGAACAAUAAUGCAAAAUGAAGAACUCAUUACAAGGGGAUAAAGAGAGUUUUGCAAAACUCAAGAGGGUUAUUCCAAGAAAGAUAUAAUAUAGGAAAAGCUGCACAUACAUAGGCAGAAAAGAAACUAGAGACGAAGAAGCACUGAGAUGGAUAUAGUUCCAAAGAUUAGAUAAAGCAUACUGGAUGACAUC